AUGUGCUGAAUGAAUGACUGUGAUAUUGGUGCACAUAACGAAGUUCAUGUGGUGGGGGUCAGGCCGAAGGGUUUGGAGUGGGGGAGGGGGCUCCGGAUUGGGGAAGAGGGUUGGGGUGCAGGGGUGUGAGGGCUCU